rnacentral:rRNA from 1 species
GGGAAUUGCAUUCGAUACUGGUUAGCUAGAGUGUGGGAGAGGAUGGUAGAAUUCCAGGUGUAGCGGUGAAAUGCGUAGAGAUCUGGAGGAAUACCGAUGGCGAAGGCAGCCAUCUGGCCUAACACUGACGCUGAGGUGCGAAAGCAUGGGGAGCAAACAGGAUUAGAUACCCUGGUAGUCCAUGCCGUAAACGAUGUCUACUAGCCGUUGGGGCCUUUGAGGCUUUAGUGGCGCAGCUAACGCGAUAAGUAGACCGCCUGGGGAGUACGGUCGCAAGACUAAAACUCAAAUGAAUUGACGGGGGCCCGCACAAGCGGUGGAGCAUGUGGUUUAAUUCGAUGCAACGCGAAGAACCUUACCUGGCCUUGACAUAGUAAGAACUUUCCAGAGAUGGAUUGGUGCCUUCGGGAACUUACAUACAGGUGCUGCAUGGCUGUCGUCAGCUCGUGUCGUGAGAUGUUGGGUUAAGUCCCGCAACGAGCGCAACCCUUUUCCUUAUUUGCCAGCGAGUAAUGUCGGGAACUUUAAGGAUACUGCCAGUGACAAACUGGAGGAAGG